GAAAUGCGAUAAUUAAUGUGAAUUGCAGAAUUCAGUGAAUCAUCGAGUCUUUGAACGCACAUUGCGCCCCCUGGUAUUCCGGGGGGCAUGCCUGUCCGAGCGUCAUUGCUGCCCUCAAGCACGGAUUGUGUGUUGGGCUUCCGUCCCUGGCAACGGGGACGGGCCCAAAAGGCAGUGGCGGCACCAUGUCUGGUCCUCGAGCGUAUGGGGCUUUGUCACCCGCUCCCGUAGGUCCAGCUGGCAGCUAGCCUCGCAACCAAUCUUUUUAACCAGGUUGACCUCGGAUCAGGUAGGGAUACCCGCUGAACUUAAGC
rnacentral:misc_RNA from 1 species